rnacentral:rRNA from 1 species
CAGUAGCCGCGGGAAUACGUAGGUGGCAAGCGUUGUCCGGAAUUAUUGGGCGUAAAGGGCUCGCAGGCGGUUUCUUAAGUCUGAUGUGAAAGCCCCCGGCUCAACCGGGGAGGGUCAUUGGAAACUGGGGAACUUGAGUGCAGAAGAGGAGAGUGGAAUUCCACGUGUAGCGGUGAAAUGCGUAGAGAUGUGGAGGAACACCAGUGGCGAAGGCGACUCUCUGGUCUGUAACUGACGCUGAGGAGCGAAAGCGUGGGGAGCGAACAGGAUUAGAUACCCCUGUAGUCCCUGUCUCUUAUAC